rnacentral:rRNA from 1 species
AUGUACGCGGCCGGGAUGCGUCCGCGCAUUGGGCGCACGGCCACCGCAUCCGAGAAAUGGCUCAGACACGAUCCCAUUUCCCUACCCAAACAGACAGAAUCCGGGCAAAACGGACGUCCGUUUGGGGUCGUGCGCUGGAGUUGGCCUAAAGCUCCAGCCAAUAGAUCCCAAAGAAUGUCAUCGAUAUUCGCGAGGAGGUACGCUGCCUGUACGCGCACCACCAAUCUGAGGGAGCCCACGGCAACGACGGGCCAGGCCAAACAGAAGGAAGAGCCAGCAAGCGACAUGCCAUAUCCAAAACCAGGGGGGCACCAGAAAAUCUUUUCUGAUGUAACAUUAUUCCCUGAUUGCUAUGGUUGUUGGAGGUUGCCUCUACCAUCAACCAAUCCAAAGAGAUGUGAGGCUGGAUUUUAUGGUAACACGCACCAUCUCCGGUUCUAUAAUUUCGCAAACGAUAAAGAUAAUCUGAAAGGCAAGACUCUAUCUGCGGCUUUUAUGUUGGACGCAAAGUUUGAAGGUGCUAACUUGAUAGAAGUUGUCAUUUUUCAAGGCCUAUGCUCUGAUGUCAAAGCUGCAAUCUUUAAGAACGCCGUCUUGUCAGGACCAACCUUCGACGAUGCUAAUAUGAAGGACGUUGAUUUCGAGGGCACACUCACUGGCUACAUUGACCUUCAGAAGCUAUGCAAAAACAACAAAAUCAAUGGAGGCACAAGAUUUGAGCUGGGAUGCAGGUCAUUAAAUCAUAGACAUGUUUAUGGCAGCAUCGGCAUCCUCCAACACGAUUAG